rnacentral:rRNA from 1 species
GAGCGAACAGACGAGGAGCUUGCUCCUCUGACGUGAGCGGCGGACGGGUGGGUAACACGUGGAUAACCUACCUAUAAGACUGGGAUAACUUCGGGAAACCGGAGCUAAUACCGGAUAAUAUAUUGAACCGCAUGGUUCAAUAGUGAAAGACGGUUUUGCUGUCACUUAUAGAUGGAUCCGCGCCGCAUUAGCUAGUUGGUAAGGUAACGGCUUACCAAGGCAACGAUGCGUAGCCGACCUGAGAGGGUGAUCGGCCACACUGGAACUGAGACACGGUCCAGACUCCUACGGGAGGCAGCAGUAGGGAAUCUUCCGCAAUGGGCGAAAGCCUGACGGAGCAACGCCGCGUGAGUGAUGAAGGUCUUCGGAUCGUAAAACUCUGUUAUUAGGGAAGAACAAAUGUGUAAGUAACUAUGCACGUCUUGACGGUACCUAAUCAGAAAGCCACGGCUAACUACGUGCCAGCAGCCGCGGUAAUACGUAGGUGGCAAGCGUUAUCCGGAAUUAUUGGGCGUAAAGCGCGCGUAGGCGGUUUUUUAAGUCUGAUGUGAAAGCCCACGGCUCAACCGUGGAGGGUCAUUGGAAACUGGAAAACUUGAGUGCAGAAGAGGAAAGUGGAAUUCCAUGUGUAGCGGUGAAAUGCGCAGAGAUAUGGAGGAACACCAGUGGCGAAGGCGACU